rnacentral:rRNA from 1 species
GACGAACGCUGGCGGCGUGCUUAACACAUGCAAGUCGAGCGGUAAGGCCCUUUCGGGGGUACACGAGCGGCGAACGGGUGAGUAACACGUGGGUGACCUGCCCUUAGCUCUGGGAUAAGCCUGGGAAACUAGGGUCUAAUACCGGAUAUGACUCCAUGACGCAUGUUGUGGGGUGGAAAGCCUUGUGCGGCUAGGGAUGGGCCCGCGGCCUAUCAGCUUGUUGGUGGGGUGAUGGCCACCAAGGCGACGACGGUAGCCGGCCUGAGAGGCGACCGGCCACACUGGGACUGAGACACGGCCCAGACUCCUACGGGAGGCAGCAGUGGGGAA